CUUCCCACUGCGGAGACGGGAGAUUGUGGAGGCUGAACCUCCAGUGAAAACCCUGAAGGAGCCAGCUCUUUUUACAGAGAGACAAGUGUUUGUUGAGUUCAAGAGGAUAGCUAUGACAAACCUGGAGAAUUAUUUUUUUGAUGCUGUUGACCGCUACACACCAUGCUUUGUCACAAUCUUCAAGUCCAAGAAAGGAAGUGUUGGAGAGAAACUGGCUGAGAUUGUGCAGCAAAUUGAUUGAAGGGAUUCUGAGAGUGAUGAGGCCUGGGCCCAGGUAUCUGUUGGGUUGCUGACUAUCAUCAGCGAAGAUGCGCCUCUCUCUCCAAAUCAUCUCCAUCUUGACCCAGUGUCUACUGCCAUCAUUCUUGAAGGAGGUAUAGUAGUGGACAAUCUCCAGAACCUACCCCAAGCACUUUGCCUCUUGUUUGGGUUGUCAUAUGCACUACACUUGGACUACCCUAAAGCCAUGAAAAACACAUUCUACUUCAUUCAACGAGUGAUGCUUGGCCUGGGAGAGAACAAACUCCCCCAAACUUCAAACUCUUAAAAAUCCUCUGAGUUAGAAUUGUAAAAAUCAAGAGUGAUAUUUGGCAUACAAUCUUAUUUGUUUAUAAAAGUGGGUCCAGUUGCUUUUAAUUGUUAACUAAAUUAAGGCACUCCUUUCAAAUUGUUUUAUAUCAGCCACUGGGUUCAUCAGCAAGUUACAUUUAGAGGCUGCAGGUGUAUGGUCAUUCAUACACGAGAUUGGUUGCCGUAGUCAUUAUUGUACACUAACCUGAUGUCACUUGUACUUGUCAGCAGGUUGAUUCUGUCAGAAUUUUGGUCUUUAAACUUUAUUGUAAUUACAAAAGUAAAGCAGUUGUUCAGGAUUAUGUUAAAUUAAAAGUCAGGGUUGGAAUUUUCUUUCCACAAAUGACAAAUGUAUGUCUUUUUAUAAAGCCAAAUACAUUGGCUGCCAAUUAUUACUGGAAGAUUAUGGAAGAAAAAUUUUGGUACCGAUGUAUCCCCCGCAGAUAUGCAAACAUUCAGUCCAACAGAGUCCGUUGUUCUCACCCAUUGGUGUUGCUUUCACUCUGU